UACGAAGGGAGCUAGCGUUGUCCGGAAUCAUUGGGCGUAAAGAGCGUGUAGGCGGCCCGAUAAGUCCGCUGUGAAAGUCCAGGGCUCAACCCUGGGAUGCCGGUGGAUACUGUCGGGCUCGAGUCCGGAAGAGGAGUGUGGAAUUCCUGGUGUAGCGGUGAAAUGCGCAGAUAUCAGGAGGAACACCAAUGGCGAAGGCAGCACUCUGGGACGUGACUGACGCUGAGACGCGAAAGCGUGGGGAGCAAACAGG
rnacentral:rRNA from 1 species